UACGGGGGGGGGCAAGCGUUGUUCGGAAUUACUGGGCGUAAAGGGCUCGUAGGCGGCCAACUAAGUCAGACGUGAAACCCUCGGCUUAACCGGGGAACUGCGUCUGAUACUGGAUGGCUUGAGGUUGGGAGAGGGAUGCGGAAUUCCAGGUGUAGCGGUGAAAUGCGUAGAUAUCUGGAGGAACACCGGUGGCGAAGGCGGCAUCCUGGACCAAUUCUGACGCUGAGGAGCGAAAAGCCAGGGGAGCAAACGGG
rnacentral:rRNA from 1 species